rnacentral:rRNA from 1 species
AUACGGAGGAUCCGAGCGUUAUCCGGAUUUAUUGGGUUUAAAGGGAGCGUAGGCGGACGCUUAAGUCAGUUGUGAAAGUUUGCGGCUCAACCGUAAAAUUGCAGUUGAUACUGGUUUCCUUGAGUACGGUACAGGUGGGCGGAAUUCGUGGUGUAGCGGUGAAAUGCUUAGAUAUCACGAAGAACUCCGAUCGCGAAGGCAGCUCACCGGGCCGGAACUGACACUGAUGCUCGAAAGUGCGGGUAUCAAACAGGAUUAGAUACCCUGGUAGUCCGCACAGUAAACGAUGAAUACUCGCUGUUUGCGAUACACGGUAAGCGGCCAAGCGAAAGCAUUAAGUAGUCCACCUGGGGAGUACGCCGGCAACGGUGAAACUCAAAGGAAUUGACGGGG